rnacentral:rRNA from 1 species
AUUAGGUCGGCGGCGAAAUAUCAGGGCCAACCUUGAGAGUGCCGUCGAAACCGGUUUUCUUGAGUGCGGAUGAAGUAGGCGGAAUUUGUGGUGUAGCGGUGAAAUGCGUAGAUAUCACAAAGAACACCGAUUGCGGAGGCAGCUUACUAAACCGCAACUGACGCUCAUGCACGAAGGCGUGGGGAUCAAACAGGAUUAGAUACCCUGGUAGUCCACGCAGUAAACGAUGAUUACUAGCUGUUUGCGAUACAAUGUAAGCGGCUGAGCGAAAGCGUUAAGUAAUCCACCUGGGGAGUACGUUCGCAAGAAUGAAACUCAAAGGAAUUGACGGGGGCCCGCACAAGCGGAGGAACAUGUGGUUUAAUUCGAUGAUACGCGAGGAACCUUACCCGGGCUUGAAAUGCAUCUGACCGGGCCGGAAACGGUCUUUCCCAGCGAUGGGCAGAUGUGUAGGUGCUGCAUGGUUGUCGUCAGCUCGUGCCGUGAGGUGUCGGCUUAAGUGCCAUAACGAGCGCAACCCUCAUCGUCAGUUACCAUCGGG